GUUUUAAUAGUUUAAAUAAAACAUUGGUCUUGUAUACCAAAAUUAAGUUUUCAACUUUUAAAAUU
rnacentral:tRNA from 1 species